GACGAACGCUGGCGGCAUGCCUAACACAUGCAAGUCGAACGAGACCUUCGGGUCUAGUGGCGCACGGGUGCUUAACGCGUGGUAACCUGCCCUUGGGUUCGGAAUAACUGCCCGAAAGGUGUCCUAAUACCGGAUAAGGUCUUCGGACCAAAGAGUUAUCGCCGUGGGAUGGGGCCUCGUUGGAUUAGCUAGUUGGUAGGGUAAAAGCCCGCCAAGGCCAGGAUGCAUAGCUGGUCUGAUAGGAUGCCUAUCCACAAUGGGACUGAGACCCGGCCCAGACUGGUACGGGAGGGAGCAGUGGGGAAUACUAGACACUGGGCGAAAGUCUGAUACAGCAAUGCCGCGGGAGUGAUGAAGGCCUUAGGGUAGUACAGCUCUCUUACCCGGGAUGAUAAUGACGGUACCGGGAGAAUAAGCACCGGCUAACUACGUG
rnacentral:rRNA from 1 species